rnacentral:lncRNA from 1 species
CAUUCAUGUUUUGCUUGUUGUUCCCAGUACACAAGAAGGAGGAGCAGCAUAUCCUGUCUGUAUCACCUGGAGCUCCAGGCUGUUCGUGUUGAAGGUGGCAGAGCUAUUAUGGCAAACGGAUACAAACAGGAGGACUCAAGAGUUCUGCAUGCAUGAGGGGUCUGCUGAGGGUUCCUUUGGGUAUGCUGGACCAAACCCUGGGCAAGCUCAUAAAAGGUCAGAAGCACGAUGUGACCUAUAUCCUCCAUGUGCCAUGUCUUUUUGGAAGACAUUCUCUUGGGUUCUUUUGGAGUCUCAUUCUUCCUCCAUGAAGAUGUGAAUGAGCAGAGCACACAGCACAGCCGAAUGAAUUCAAAAUGAAUAAAACUGGUAAGAAAAUGGGCA